AAUAUUGGACAAUGGGGGCAACCCUGAUCCAGCCAUGCCGCGUGUGUGAAGAAGGUCUUCGGAUUGUAAAGCACCUUAAGUUGGGAGGAAGGGCUUUAGGUUAAUACCCUGAAGUUUUGACGUUACCAACAGAAUAAGCACCGGCUAACUCUGUGCCAGCAGCCGCGGUAAUACAGAGGGUGCAAGCGUUAAUCGGAAUUACUGGGCGUAAAGCGCGCGUAGGUGGUUCAGUAAGAUGGGUGUGAAAUCCCCGGGCUUAACCUAAGGACUGCUUUCAUAACUACUGGGCUAGAGUACGGUAGAGGGUGGUGGAAUUUCCUGUGUAGCGGUGAAAUGCGUAGGUAUAGGAAGGAACACCAGUGGCGAAGGCGACUACCUGGACUGAUACCGACACUGAGGUGCGAAAGCGUGGGGAGCAAAC
rnacentral:rRNA from 1 species